rnacentral:rRNA from 1 species
UACGGAGGGUGCGAGCGUUGUCCGGAAUUACUGGGCGUAAAGGGCUCGUAGGUGGCCAACUAAGUCAGACGUGAAAUCCCUCGGCUUAACCGGGGAACUGCGUCUGAUACUGGAUGGCUUGAGUUCGGGAGAGGGAUGCGGAAUUCCAGGUGUAGCGGUGAAAUGCGUAGAUAUCUGGAGGAACACCGGUGGCGAAGGCGGCAUCCUGGACCGACACUGACACUGAGGAGCGAAAGCGUGGGUAGCAAACAGG